rnacentral:lncRNA from 1 species
GCCGUCCACUUUAACCGGGGAGAUGGGGUUACGCCCCCUUCCCCUAACCCAGAAUCAGGUGGUGGCAGCGCCCCGAAGAUCCCAGGGACCGCAAUUAUGAUGCUCCCUUUGUUUAAUGCCAGGAGGCAGCGGACACAUUGUGAUUCUUUACAGGGUGUUUGCCAAACAUUUAUGGGUGGAGGGAACAGAAGCUCUGGCCCUUCCACCUUGUUCUCCAGCCACUUUCCAGCUAAACACACACACACAUAUGCACACACACAUACUAUUGUUAAAUUCAAACACCCUGGGUUUGGUUUUUGCUGGUGGGGGUGGAGUGGAGUUCCUGGAGAAGCAAAGCAGUCCUAAAUCACCGAGUUGAUGGGUCUUUUGGGUGUUCCCACCAGUCCUUACUGAUCUCUACAAAAUCCCAAGUUACCAAGCUCUUCAACAAAUAGAAGACAGCUGUCAAACACCAUGGGCUACAGAUACAACGGGCAUAUUCGUAAGCAUAGUAGCUGUUGAUAGUUCUGGAAUUUGGAGCAAACACUUAUUCAUUGAACAGCUAUGUACUGAGUCCCUACCUUGUCAGGCACUGGCUAGGCACGGGAAUAAACGGAGAGCAUAAAUAAGAUAACCUGCUCUCAGAAGAUGCCAACAUAAACCGCAUAGUCUCUGCUAAUGAAUGUAAUUACAAACUGAGAUAAGGGAUCUCAAGGGAAAACAUGCUUCUGAAGUGAACCCACAACAAAGGAAUCAGACCAGACUGGUGGGUGAGGGCAGGCUUCCCUGAGAAAGUGACAGGAGUUGAGAUCUGGAGAAGGGAGAAUUAAGUAAGCAAGUGGAGAGGAAGUGCUCCCAGGCAGCCCCAUGUGCCCCUGGCAGGCCAUAGAGCAAACCUGUAGGGCAGCAUUGAACAGCUUUGAAGAGCAAACUAGAGCUACAGAAUUCUUUGGUCAAGACCAAACAUCUGCCUCUACUGUAUAUUCACAAACCAAAUGUCCAUUCUUCCUCCCUACUCUUAGAACCUCCCCCAAAGAUUCCACAUGAGACAGGAGAGAAAGGAGCAUUAAUAUCCUCACAUUUACCAUCCAGCCACUCUGGUUGUCGAAGCAGCUAAAUCUCAAAUUUACCUUUAUUAGUCUUAUAGAUUAUAAUUCAGAUCAUGCAGACAAGAAGAACCAAGGAACUUUGUUCCUGGCUUCCACUCCUCUGUUAUCAAUGUUGCAUGGAAACAAACAAACAAAAAAUUCUAAGGCCUUUCUCAGACAUACAACAGAUUGUUUAUGUUGCAUCUAUGAGUCAGUUCUUCACUGCUGUUAUUGGUAUGUCUAUUUACUGAACACCCUGCAUGGCUUUGUAAGUAAACUGAAUAGGACCCUGCAUUCUCUACUUAAAUAGAGCCAUCUUUCAGAAGAGUGAUAACAAAUGACUUAAUUUGGAAGAUUCACUCAAGAUCCAAUUUGAUUCAUCGCGGACAUGCCUGCACCUAAGUUCCUGGGGCCAAAGUGAGGAGGCAGCAGUUCUCCACCCAAUCAGACCAUCAUCCUCUUUUUGUAACUAGUAUCUUUAACACUCCCCUUACUAUCCUGAAAGGCUGAGCGAGUACUGGGAAAAAGGAAAUACCCAGACAUUUGAGGGAUCACUGACACUGCUUCUGAAUUAAUGCUAAUUCCUGAGGAUUGCAAACACCACUGGAUCCACCAAUCAAAAUGGGGAUCUAUGAGUGAAGUUUAUUAUGGUAAGACAGGCCAAAUGGAAGCCUCUGGAAUUUCCUCUUGAUACCAGAAUAGAAAACCAACAACAAUGCUCAAUCCCUGGAAAUAUGUAGAAAUUGGUACCACCAGAAAAGACGUAGAAGAUACAGGAAUGAUAAUACUGUCACAUCUCCAUUUAACUCACCUGUUGGGCCUAUGCAAAAGAUCUUAGAGAAUAACUAUGAUUUGUUAUUAAGUUGUAAACUUAAUCAAAUGGUAAUGUCAGUUGCAGCUGCUAUUCUAUAUAUGCUGUCUUUACCGCAACAAAGCAACUCAGCCCUAGGCACCUGGUGUGCACUAUUGAUAUGGCAAAUGCUUUUUAUCUAUUUCAAUUUUCACCAAAAGUUGUUUUCUUUUAUAUGGCAAGAUCAACAGUACACCUUUACAGUCUUCUCUAGGGGAUGUAAACACUCCCACUCUCUGGCAUAAUCUCAUCUGCACAGGUCUUGAUCACUAUGUUAAAGACAUCGAGCUGACUGGCCCUGAUAAACAGGAAGUAACAAAUAUUUUAGCUGCCUUAACAACACACAUGUGAGCCAGAGAUUGGGUAUAAACCCCAAGAAAAUUCAUCACCUUAGUGAAGUUUCUGGAGGUCCAGUGGUCUAGAAAACACCAGGAUAUUCUCCCCAACGUAAAAGACAAAUUACUUCACCUUGUACCAUCUACCACUAAGAAAAGAGACACAAUACUUUCUGGGUAUCCUUGGAUUUUAGAGGCAAUAUGUAUCACAUCUGAGUGUGAUGCUGUGACCCAUUUAUAGAGCAACCCAUAAGGCUGGAAUUUUUUAUUAGGAAUAAGGGGAGAAGAAAUAUCUGUAGCAGGACUUGAUGACCCAGAGGAAUCCAAUGAUACUUAAAGUGUCUGUGGCAAAUAAGGAUGCUAUAUAGAGCCUCUGGUGAGCCCUGAUUAGAUCUACAAUGCAGAAUUCCUUAGUUGUAGAGCAAGUCAUGCCCUCUUCUGCAGAUAACAAUUUUCUAUUUGAGGAAUGGUCCCUAGCUUGCUAAGUGAAUUUGAAUGACUGGCCAUGAGACAAUCAAGUGACUGCAAGCUCAGCUGCCCAUUAUGAACUGAGUGUAAUCUAAUCUACCAAUCCAUAAGACCAGACAUACACAAGAGGAAUUCCUCAUCAAAUGGAAAUGGUAUGUAAGAGACUGAGCUUAAGCAGGUCCAGAAAGCACAAGUUGCCUUAGCAGGUAGCUCAGAUUCCUUUGAUACUUACUCCUGGUGCCUCCUUAUCUUCAACUUCAUGGGGAAUUUCUUAAGACCAGUUAACUGAUUUACAGACAGUUCUCCUAAAUAUACUGGCACAAGCUGGAAGUGGUCUAUUCCAGCAUCACAGUCUCAAUAAGGAAUGCCCCCGAUGACAGUACUGAAGGGAAAUUUUCUCAGUGCAAGAAAUUUCCAGCAGCGCACCUAGGGUCUACUUUGUCUGGAUUGAGAGAGACGGUCAAAGGUAUAGAUCUACACUCAUUCACAGGCAAUUAUUGAUGGUUUUGCUGAAUGGUCAGCAACUUGGAAAGAUGAGGUGGUCCGGGAAAGAGGUUUGUGGGUGCACCUUUCAGAAUAGGCACAAAGUGUGAGGAAUUUGUGUGCCAUGUGAAUGCUCACCACAGAGCAUCUACUCUGAGAAGGCUUUUAGUAAUUAGGUGAAUGACACAUUCGGUGGAGUGGGCCUCUUUCUCCACCUAUUGCAGUGCUUGCUCAAAGUAGCCAUGGAGUCAGGAAUAAAGACUAUGUUUGGGCUUCAAAUCUUAGGCUUCUCUGCAGUAAGGCUGAUAUCUGACAACAUCAGAAAUCACACAUUGAGAGGCACCAUUUCCAAGGGAGACUAGUCAGCCAUGUGGUAGCAAAUUGAUUAUUUUGGAACCCUUCCUUCAUGGAGGGAACAGUUACUUGUCUUCACUAGAGUAGACACAUA